AAAUAGUAGCAAAUCAAAGCUGAAGAUAAUUUUUGAAAGCAUCACUUUACUUACUUUAAGGACAUUUACUCUUCUGUCUGGACAUCUUGCCAUGCUCGUCUGUCCACAAAUUCUUAGUCCCAGAGUUUUCCUUUGCAGAAAUCAACAGUAUUGAAAUAAAGAAGUUGUGCUUUAAGCCUCCUCGGUAGCUGGUAUGGGGACAACAUUGUUGCUCAGAAGAGUAGCCAA